AGAGUUUGAUCUUGGCUCAGGACGAACGCUGGCGGCGUGCCUAAUACAUGCAAGUCGAGCGCGGGAAGCAAAUCGAUCCCCUUCGGGGGUGACGUUUGUGGAACGAGCGGCGGACGGGUGAGUAACACGUGGGCAACCUGCCUGUAAGAUUGGGAUAACUCGCGGAAACGUGAGCUAAUACCGAAUGACACUUUUCAUCGCCUGAUGGGAAGUUAAAAGGCGGCAUUUGCUGUCACUUACAGAUGGGCCCGCGGCGCAUUAGCUAGUUGGUGAGAUAAAAGCUCACCAAGGCAACGAUGCGUAGCCGACCUGAGAGGGUGAUCGGCCACACUGGGACUGAGACACGGCCCAGACUCCUACGGGAGGCAGCAGUAGGGAAUCUUCCGCAAUGGACGAAAGUCUGACGGAGCAACGCCGCGUGAGUGAUGAAGGUUUUCGGAUCGUAAAACUCUGUUGUUAGGGAAGAACAAGUAUUGUUCGAAUAGGACAGUACCUUGACGGUACUUAACCAGAAAGCCCCGGCUAACUACGUGCCAGCAGCCGCGGUAAUACGUAGGGGGCGAGCGUUGUCCGGAAUUAUUGGGCGUAAAGCGCGCGCAGGCGGUCUUUUAAGUCUGAUGUGAAAGCCCACGGCUUAACCGUGGAGGGUCAUUGGAAACUGGAGGACUUGAGUACAGAAGAGGAGAGUGGAAUUCCACGUGUAGCGGUGAAAUGCGUAGAGAUGUGGAGGAACACCAGUGGCGAAGGCGACUCUCUGGUCUGUAACUGACGCUGAGGUGCGAAAGCGUGGGUAGCGAACAGGAUUAGAUACCCUGGUAGUCCACGCCGUAAACGAUGAGUGCUAGGUGUUAGGGGGUUUCCGCCCCUUAGUGCUGAAGUUAACGCAUUAAGCACUCCGCCUGGGGAGUACGGCCGCAAGGCUGAAACUCAAAAGAAUUGACGGGGACCCGCACAAGCGGUGGAGCAUGUGGUUUAAUUCGAAGCUACGCGAAGAACCUUACCAGGUCUUGACAUCCUCUGCUAUCGGUAGAGAUACCGAGUUCCCUUCGGGGACAGAGUGACAGGUGGUGCAUGGUUGUCGUCAGCUCGUGUCGUGAGAUGUUGGGUUAAGUCCCGUAACGAGCGCAACCCUUGAUCUUAGUUGCCAGCAUUUAGUUGGGCACUCUAAGGUGACUGCCGGUGACAAACCGGAGGAAGGUGGGGAUGACGUCAAAUCAUCAUGCCCCUUAUGACCUGGGCUACACACGUGCUACAAUGGAUGGAACAAAGGGCAGCGAAGCGGCAACGUGUUAGCAAAUCCCAUAAAACCAUUCUCAGUUCGGAUUGUAGGCUGCAACUCGCCUACAUGAAGCAGGAAUCGCUAGUAAUCGCGGAUCAGCAUGCCGCGGUGAAUACGUUCCCGGGUCUUGUACACACCGCCCGUCACACCACGAGAGUUGGCAACACCCGAAGUCGGUGAGGUAACACUUUUGUGAGCCAGCCGCCGAAGGUGGGGCCAAUGAUUGGGGUGAAGUCGUAACAAGGUAGCCGUAUCGGAAGGUGCGGCUG
rnacentral:rRNA from 1 species